AUGAAUCCGACCUACGCGUCGGGUCCGGAUGGCGUACCAGUGAAAUUCUUCCAGGUCUUCUGGCCCACCAUCAAGUGAGAGGUGAUGGCCCUCUUUCAGGAAUUUUACAUCGGCUCCAUCGACCUCUACCGCCUCAACUUUGGGAUCAUCUCCCUGAUCCCCAAGGUUCCCGGCGCCUCAGACAUCCGCCAGUUCCGGCCGAUCACGGUGAUCAAUGUGAUCUUCUGCAUCCUGGCAAAGGGGUUCACCAUUAGGUUAGCUCCUUUGGCCAACCGCAUUACACAUCCUGACCAGCCAACCUUCAUCCAAGGGCAAUAUAUCUUGGAUGGGGUCCUAGUCUUUCACGAGGUCCUCCAUGAGGUCCAUGCCAAACACCUGAAGGCCAUCUUCCUGAAGCUCGACUUCCACAAGGCAUACGACACGGUCAGUUGGCCCUUCCUUCAGGAAGUUUUGCUCCGUAAGGGGUUUGAUGACCAAUGGGUCACCCGGGUAAUGCAUCUGGUCUCAUUCGAGCAGACUGUGGUCAACAUUAACGGCGAGAUCAGCCCCUACUUCCCCACGCUUUGUGGGGUCCUUCAGGGAGAUCCUUUCUCCCCGUUCCUCUUCAACAUGGUGGUUGAUGCUUUGGCUACUAUCCUUGACAAGGCAAAGGCCGCAUGGCACAUUCAAGGCAUGGUGCCUCACUUGUUGGGGAGACAUGGAGUGUCCCUUCUCCAGUACGCCGACAACACAAUCAUUAUGGUUGAGGGAUCUAUGGCCGACAACACAAAUGUCAAAUUCCUCCUCCUUUGCUUUCAGGAGAUGUCGGGCAUGAUGAUUAACUUCGAUAAGAGCGAAGUGAUGGUGAUGGGGUGUUCCUUUGCUGAGAGCCAUAGUAUAGCCAACCGGCUCAACUGUUAG
rnacentral:rRNA from 1 species